rnacentral:rRNA from 1 species
GACGAACGCUGGCGGCGUGCUUAACACAUGCAAGUCGAGCGGUAAGGCCCUUUCGGGGGUACACGAGCGGCGAACGGGUGAGUAACACGUGGGUGACCUGCCCUCAGCUCUGGGACAAGCCUGGGAAACCGGGUCUAAUACCGGAUAUGACUCCAUGACGCAUGUUGUGGGGUGGAAAGCCUUGUGCGGCUGAGGAUGGGCCCGCGGCCUAUCAGCUUGUUGGUGGGGUGAUGGCCUACCAAGGCGACGACGGGUAGCCGGCCUGAGAGGGCGACCGGCCACACUGGGACUGAGACACGGCCCAGACUCCUACGGGAGGCAGCAGUGGGGAAUCUUGCGCAAUGGGCGAAAGCCUGACGCAGCGACGCCGCGUGAGGGAUGACGGCCUGG